UGAAAGACACCAGAGUCCUGAUUGCCACUGAGCAACCAAAGAUGUUGGACAGACUUCAAGAAGCAAAUAUGCUUUUAGAAGACAUCCAGAAGGGUCUGAAUACUUACUUGGAAAAGAAAAGGUUAUUUUUCCCAA